UAGUAGGCAUUGCUUAGGAAUAUAAUGACAGUGUUAUGUUGUUGUCAUGAUUGUGUGUUCCUUCCAGAGGGACUGAGUGUGGAUCAUCAUUUGAGGGUAGUGAGGACAGCUGCCUGGGAGGUGAGGGGGACAUGGCAUCCUCUGGGAGAGCAGUUGGGUGUCAAUGAGGGGACACUAGAUGCCAUCAAGAGGGACUGUCCGAAUGAGUGUGAUGACUGUUUCACUAAACUACUGGAGCAAUGGUUGACAGGAUCCACCCCCGCCCCCACACUAGGAGCACUCAUCCAUGCACUCAAGUCUCGUGUCAUUAGUCGUGGAGACAUUGCCCAACAGAUGGAGUCUAAACUAACCAAGCUAGCUUCACAGUAACAGCUCCACUGACUCCGUACAUCUUUUAUUGAUCAGAAACAGCUAAUUAAUUUUUAUGCUUUGUUUUGCUGGUUCCCACUCUUGCUAAGAUUUGUGCAUAAUAAUAAUAAUGCAGUGCAUCAGCGUUAUAAUUAUAUAAAACCAUAUACAAUUGCCAUGGCAGUUUCUAAGUAGUUA